rnacentral:rRNA from 1 species
AUGAACGCUAGCGACAGGCCUAACACAUGCAAGUCGAGGGGCAGCGGGGAGGUAGCAAUACCUUUGCCGGCGACCGGCGCACGGGUGAGUAACACGUAUGCAAUCCACCUGUAACAGGGGGAUAACCCGGAGAAAUCCGGACUAAUACCCCAUAAUAUGGGCGCUCCGCAUGGAGGGUCCAUUAAAGAGAGCAAUCUUGGUUACAGACGAGCAUGCGCUCCAUUAGCCAGUUGGCGGGGUAACGGCCCACCAAGGCGACGAUGGAUAGGGGUUCUGAGAGGAAGGUCCCCCACAUUGGAACUGAGACACGGUCCAAACUCCUACGGGAGGCAGCAGUGAGGAAUAUUGGUCAAUGGUCGGCAGACUGAACCAGCCAAGUCGCGUGAGGGAAGACGGCCCUACGGGUUGUAAACCUCUUUUGUCGGAGAGUAAAGUGCGCUACGUGUAGCGUAUUGCAAGUAUCCGAAGAAAAAGCAUCGGCUAACUCCGUGCCAGCAGCCGCGGUAAUACGGAGGAUGCGAGCGUUAUCCGGAUUUAUUGGGUUUAAAGGGUGCGUAGGCGGCACGCCAAGUCAGCGGUGAAAUUUCCGGGCUCAACCCGGACUGUGCCGUUGAAACUGGCGAGCUAGAGUGCACAAGAGGCAGGCGGAAUGCGUGGUGUAGCGGUGAAAUGCAUAGAUAUCACGCAGAACCCCGAUUGCGAAGGCAGCCUGCUAGGGUGCGACAGACGCUGAGGCACGAAAGCGUGGGUAUCGAACAGGAUUAGAUACCCUGGUAGUCCACGCAGUAAACGAUGAAUACUAACUGUUUGCGAUACAAUGUAAGCGGUACAGCGAAAGCGUUAAGUAUUCCACCUGGGGAGUACGCCGGCAACGGUGAAACUCAAAGGAAUUGACGGGGGCCCGCACAAGCGGUGGAGCAUGUGGUUUAAUUCGAAGCAACGCGAAGAACCUUACCAGGUCUUGACAUCGAUCUAAAAGGGAUGGAGACAUCCUCAUAGCUAUAGAGAAGACAGGUGGUGCAUGGUUGUCGUCAGCUCGUGCCGUGAGGUGUCGGCUUAAGUGCCAUAACGAGCGCAACCCCUAUGGACAGUUACUAACGGGUGAAGCCGAGGACUCUGUCUAGACUGCCGGCGCAAGCCGCGAGGAAGGUGGGGAUGACGUCAAAUCAGCACGGCCCUUACGUCCGGGGCGACACACGUGUUACAAUGGCAGGUACAGAAGGCAGCCAGUCAGCAAUGACGCGCGAAUCCCGAAAACCUGUCUCAGUUCGGAUUGGAGUCUGCAACCCGACUCCAUGAAGCUGGAUUCGCUAGUAAUCGCGCAUCAGCCAUGGCGCGGUGAAUACGUUCCCGGGCCUUGUACACACCGCCCGUCAAGCCAUGGAAGCCGGGAGUACCUGAAGCAUGCAACCGCAAGGAGCGUACGAAGGUAAUACCGGUAACUGGGGCU